rnacentral:rRNA from 1 species
GUGGGGAAUAUUGGGCAAUGGGCGAAAGCCUGACCCAGCAACGCCGCGUGAAGGAAGAAGGUUUUCGGAUCGUAAACUUCUAUCCUUGGUGAAGAUAAUGACGGUAGCCAAGAAGGAAGCCCCGGCUAACUACGUGCCAGCAGCCGCUGUAAUACGUAGGGGGCAAGCGUUGUCCGGAAUGAUUGGGCGUAAAGGGCGCGUAGGCGGCCCGGUAAGUCUGAAGUGAAAGUCCUGCUUUUAAGGUGGGAAUUGCUUUGGAUACUGUCGGGCUUGAGUGCAGGAGAGGUAAGCGGAAUUCCCGGUGUGGCGGUGAAAUGCGUAGAGAUCGGGAGGAACACCAGUGGCGAAGGCGGCUUACUGGACUGUAACUGACGCUGAGGCGCGAAAGUGUGGGGAGCAAACAGGAUUAGAUACCCGAGUAGUCC